ACGCGUAAGUGUGCCGCCUGGGAGUACGCCGCAAGGCUAAACUCAAAGAAAUUGACGGGGCCCGCACAAGCAGAGGAGCAUGUGGCUUAAUUCGAUGCAACGCGAAGAACCUUACCUGGGCUUGACAUGGAGCUGCGCGGCCUGUGAAAGCAGGCCUCCUUCGAGGGAGCUCCACAGGUGCUGCAUGGCUGUCGUCAGUUCGUGCCGUGAGGUGUUUGGUUAAGUCCACCAACGAACGCAACCCCUAUGGCCCGUUGCCAGCGGGUAACGCCGGGCACUCAGGCCACACUGCCUGUUCACGCAGGAGGAAGGUGGGGAUGACGUCAAGUCAGUAUGGCCCUUACGCCCAGGGCUGCACACGUGCUACAAUGGCCGGUACAGAGGGAAGCGAAGCCGCGAGGCGGAGCCAACCCCAGAGAGCCGGCCCCAGUUCGGAUCGGGGUCUGCAACCCGACCCCGUGAAGUCGGAUUUGCUAGUAACGGCGCAUCAGCUACGGCGCCGUGAAUGCGUUCCCGGGCCUUGUACACACCGCCCGUCACAUCAUGAAAGCCGUCUGCACCCGAAGUCCGGCAUUAGUCGGCCUAAGGUGUGGGUGGUGAUUGGGAUG
rnacentral:rRNA from 1 species